rnacentral:rRNA from 1 species
GAAAUGCGAUAAGUAAUGUGAAUUGCAGAAUUCAGUGAAUCAUCGAAUCUUUGAACGCAACUUGCGCCCCUUGGUAUUCCGAGGGGCAUGCCUGUUUGAGUGUCAUUAAAUUCUCAACUUCAAAAGCUUUGUCUUUCUGAAGCUUGGAUGUGAAGGCUGCUGGCGUCUUAGAUGUUCAGCUCCUUUAAAAUGCAUUAGUGGACCCGUUUGUGUUCAACCUUAGUGUGAUAAUUAUCUACGCUAUGGCUUUGAAUACUUGCUCAUUAGAACUUUUCGGGGUGUUUUAACAUUCUCGGUUUGGAGGGUUGCAUUAGGUUGCUCCCUCUGUCUAUUGAGUUAGGAUUGUCUGCUUCAAACCGUCUGCACUCGUAGACAAUUUGAACCAUUUGACCUCAAAUCAGGUAGGACUACCCGCUGAACUUAA